rnacentral:rRNA from 1 species
AUAAGUACCAACGUCAAUUUUUCGUUGACUUCGGUCAACAUUUGGCUUCAAAACAUGCUGUCCGAGUCCUUAGCCGGCUCGAGACAGUUACAGGAUCUAAACUGGAGAGUUUGAUCCUGGCUCAGAAUGAACGCUGGCGGCGUGCUUAACACAUGCAAGUCGUGCGCGAAAGCGGCUUCGGCCGCGUGUAGAGCGGCGAACGGGUGAGUAACACGUGGACAACCUGCCCAAGAGUGGGGGAUAACCUGGGGAAACUCGGGCUAAUACCGCAUACGUUCGUGGGGCUUCGGCCCUGCGCAGAAAGGUGGCCUAUGCUUGCAAGCCACCGCUCCUGGAGGGGUCCGCGUCUGAUUAGCUAGUUGGCGGGGUAAUGGCCCACCAAGGCGACGAUCAGUAGCCGGCCUGAGAGGGUGAUCGGCCACACUGGAACUGAGACACGGUCCAGACUCCUACGGGAGGCAGCAGUGGGG